CCAGGCCCCCUGCAUCCCUUCCCCAGCCGCCUCAGCAUGAUCACCAUCCACCCACGCACCCUCUGCCUCCCUAUCCACCUCCUCGUCCCCUUCCUCAUCCUCACCCUUCUACACCUCCUCGUCCCCUUCCUCAUCCUCGUCCCCUUCCUCACCCUCGUCCCCUUCCUCAUCCUCAUCCCCUUCCUCACCCUCGUCCCCUUCCUCACCCUCGUCCCCUUCCUCAUCCUCGCCCUUCUACACCUCCUCGUCCCCUUCCUCAUCCUCAUCCCCUUCCUCAUCCUCGUCCCCUUCCUCAUCCUCGUCCCCUUCCUCAUCCUCACAUACACGGGGCAUCGCUACCCUGCUGCUUUUCCACGGCCACGGCCUCGGCCCCUUCCUCUACGAGAACCACCCUCCUUCCUACUGAGACGUACACGCCCCCUUCCACGGCCGUGAUCCUACAAACACGGAGGGGGGUUAAGAAACUUAGGAGAAUGCUUAAGAACGAUAAGAACGACGGAAGAACAUGGAGGAGGCGGGUGUGCAUUCUUAAACAUUCUUACACUGGUAUUAAGCGGUUUUAUGUAAGUAUGUCAUAUAAGUAUGCAUUAAGAAUGCAUCAACCAUGAAAACAUUCUGUAAUGAAUGCCUGAUGGAGCUCUUAUAGUUCCCGGAUAGGUAAUAUAUCACAGUGAUUGUGAAACAGUGAACAUACCAUGAAAUUUCAUGAAAACUAUCAACAUGUGUCUGGGUCUAGACCUUAGAUCUCAUAAUGCGAGAUCUAACAGGU
rnacentral:lncRNA from 1 species